GCCCCGGUAGCCGAGUUGGUAAUGUGCUUGGAUUACCAGUUCAGGGGUCGUGGGUUCGAUUCCCGCCAGAAGCC
rfam:Stomoxys calcitrans breed 8C7A2A5H3J4 unplaced genomic scaffold Scaffold31, whole genome shotgun sequence.